rnacentral:misc_RNA from 1 species
GAUGAAGAACGUGGCGAAAUGCGAUAAGUAAUGUGAAUUGCAGAAUUCAGUGAAUCAUCGAAUCUUUGAACGCACAUUGCGCCCCUCGGUAUUCCGUGGGGCAUGCCUGUUCGAGCGUCAUUUACCCCUCAAGCACUGCUUGGUGUUGGGCGUCUGUCCCGCUUCGCGCGCGGACUCGCCCCAAAGGUAUUGGCAGCGGUCGUGCCAGCUUCUCGCGCAGCACAUUGCGCUUCUCGAGGCGGUCGAUCGGCGUCCACGAAGCUCACCUCCACCGUUUGACCUCGGAUCAGGUAGGGAUACCCGCUGAACUUAAGCAUAUCAAUAAGCGGAGGA